UACAAUAGAAUGGCUUACAAGGGCGGUCGGCUAUCCUCCGGAAGGGAGGUGAUGCCUGUGAGCGUAUAUGAAGCAUUAUCCGUCAUGCUCCAAUUCGGACUAUGGAUACUGGCGUUAAUCACGUUGAUUAUCACGCUGCUGAUAUACCUCAACAAACAUAAAUAGACCGCCCUAGGUCAAAAGAUGCGGUCUAUUUAUGCUCCAAAAAGCCUUCCGCCCUUAAAAGCGGCUAUUGUGUAGGGGUCGGUUGCCGCCGACUCCU
rnacentral:sRNA from 1 species